UACGUAGGGGGCAAGCGUUGUCCGGAAUCAUUGGGCGUAAAGAGCGCGUAGGCGGCCCUGUAAGUCCGCUGUGAAAGUCAAGGGCUCAACCCUUGAAUGCCGGUGGAUACUGCAGGGCUAGAGUCCGGAAGAGGCGAGUGGAAUUCCUGGUGUAGCGGUGAAAUGCGCAGAUAUCAGGAGGAACACCAAUUGCGAAGGCAGCUCGCUGGGACGUAACUGACGCUGAGACGCGAAAGCGUGGGGAGCAAACAGG
rnacentral:rRNA from 1 species